rnacentral:rRNA from 1 species
AGAGUUUGAUCCUGGCUCAGGACGAACGCUGGCGGCGUGCUUAACACAUGCAAGUCGAACGGUGAUCUCCGCUUGCGGGGUGAUCAGUGGCGAACGGGUGAGUAACACGUGGGCAACCUGCCCCCGGCUCUGGGAUAACUCCAAGAAAUUGGGGCUAAUACCGGAUGUUCACUGCUGGCCGCAUGGUCGGUGGUGGAAAGGGUUUCCGGCUGGGGAUGGGCCCGCGGCCUAUCAGCUUGCUGGUGGGGUAGUGGCCUACCAAGGCGACGACGGGUAGCCGGCCUGAGAGGGUGACCGGCCACACUGGGACUGAGACACGGCCCAGACUCCUACGGGAGGCAGCAGUGGGGAAUAUUGCGCAAUGGGCGGAAGCCUGACGCAGCGACGCCGCGUGGGGGAUGACGGCCUUCGGGUUGUAAACCUCUUUCAGCAGGGACGAAGCCUCACGGUGACGGUACCUGCAGAAGAAGCACCGGCCAACUACGUGCCAGCAGCCGCGGUAAUACGUAGGGUGCAAGCGUUGUCCGGAAUUAUUGGGCGUAAAGAGCUCGUAGGCGGUUGGUCGCGUCGGCUGUGAAAUCCCGGAGCUCAACUCCGGGCCUGCAGUCGAUACGGGCCGACUUGAGUGUUGCAGGGGAGACUGGAAUUCCUGGUGUAGCGGUGAAAUGCGCAGAUAUCAGGAGGAACACCGGUGGCGAAGGCGGGUCUCUGGGCAACAACUGACGCUGAGGAGCGAAAGCGUGGGGAGCGAACAGGAUUAGAUACCCUAGUAGUCC